rnacentral:rRNA from 1 species
UAGGGAAUAUUGGGCAAUGGACGCAAGUCUGACCCAGCCAUGCCGCGUGCAGGAUGAAGGCCUUCUGGGUUGUAAACUGCUUUUAUCUAGGAAGAAAAAACCCUUGCGAGGGGAACUGACGGUACUAGGUGAAUAAGCACCGGCUAACUCCGUGCCAGCAGCCGCGGUAAUACGGAGGGUGCAAGCGUUGUCCGGAUUUAUUGGGUUUAAAGGGUGCGUAGGCGGCCCGUUAAGUCCGUGGUGAAAGCCAACAGCUCAACUGUUGAACUGCCAUGGAUACUGACGGGCUUGAGUACAGACGAGGUAGGCGGAAUGGAUGGUGUAGCGGUGAAAUGCAUAGAUACCAUCCAGAACACCGAUUGCGUAGGCAGCUUACUAGGCUGUA